AAUUAAGAACUCAUAAUAAACAACUACCGAUGGCUGAUGCCGACCCGUCGAUUCAUAUGGAAAUGCAUUAUGAUUAGGCAAAGCAGGCUUAAUUAGUAACGUUAUUAUUAUAUAUCAGAUGGUGUCUUGUUUUUUGUCUUCCACCUCACUGGUUUCUGCUUCUUGUCUCUGCAUGCCGCACACAUUUUUAUAUGUGUAUUUCUAAGUCACCGAUAGGGUUGUGGAGUCAAUGGAUUCACAUAUCGAUAUGUAGAUAAUUGAAUGAAGUUUUAGGGGAUGGUAUUUCUAAUUUUGUAUAAUAUAUAUAUACCCAUUUGUAGCUUAAUUAUCGUCAGUUGCAUGUAAAUCUGGUUGGACCAACAUCUUCAAAUUUUGAAUUCAAAAGAUUAAAUUAGCGAGUCAGCACACAUGUCUGUAUCCAAUAUGCAGUAGCAGGUAUCCAUCAAAUGUUCAGGGAUUAAAGAAACUUACUUGUCUUUUUUAUCAUUACAUAGGUACUUCUCUCUUUUCUCUUUUAAUAAUUCGUAUAUCUUGUUCAAGUUUAAAAGCUUGACAUGAUGACAAGUGUCGCAAUUACCUUGAAUACGAUCCCAUCUGUGUUUUUCUUUUGUUUACAUAAAAAUUAACCAGCUUAGGCCUAAUUUUGAUUAAGAAAUUCAUCAUGGAAGUUAACUCCAAGUGCUCAUAUGGAGAUGGAAAUUUAAUUAAUAACCAAGAUUUACUUCCAUAACCCAAAUAUGUUUGGACUACCUUUUUCCCAUACAGUUGUUGUUCCGUCCGUGAGUAUCUAUUCAAAAUAAUGGUUUGGUUUGACUCGAGGGUUGGUGAAAUGCCCUUUUUUAAGUUUGAAGCGUUUUGUGAUGUUUUAGUGGGCGAUUCCUCGCAAGACAUAUAAUGAUACGUAGGUAGUAAGAGGGAGUAUUUUGGGUAUAUAUAAGUGUAUUGACAGAAAGAUGUGGUAGAAACAUAUCGAGUAUGUGUUCUUUGAGGGGUAUGAUCAGUCUGUGGUGUAUAUUGGGGGUGUAACUUCGGCAUAUUGAAAGUAUGAAGAAGUAGUUGAGAGUUGUGUUCUCUCUUUUGUGUUGUUAAUAUGGAGGCCGAGGAGCCUUUUUAUAUGAGUCAUGAGUCAUGGUGGUAUGAUUCUGACUUUCACAUGUCUUUCUGUGAGUGAAAAGUAAGUGAAAGCUAAAUAUAAGUCGUUAAAAAUGUACGAUUAGAAAGAUUGUCCUAGGCUUGUUGUAUUAUGAGCUGGCAAUUUGACCUCCAUAACUUACACUCACUGUUUAAUGGAACUCUAUAAAGUCUUACUUAGAUAGCCACACUUAUCCCAUCAAUAUAACGAAUUUAUAUAUCAUUAUUCCAAUUUGUUAGAACGAUCAUACCAUCUGGCUCAUACCAUGAGUCAGUAUUGCUGGGUCUAGGCCCAUCAAUUGUAAUACAAGCCAUACACAUGGCUAUUGGAACUUUAAUUAAUUAAUUGAAUUAUGCUAUUAGCCUUUUUCUGAAUAUGAAUAGUUUAGGGAUUUAGAAGUGCAUGUCCAUUACUAUUUUUUGGGGAUUUUUUUGGUGUGGAGAAGUGCAUUACUCAAGUAGUCCAAAUAACUUCAAAUUGAGGGUUUGGGCCUUUUGUUGGUUAAUGGUUUCGGAAACAAUUGGGCUAUGUAAUAUCCCACUGAAAGAAAUUUACAGAAAGCCCACUACGUGUGGCCCAAAAGAAACCUAAUCUCGCCCGAUAUAGAACCUACGUUUAUAUACACAUUUAGGGUUUUUAUUUCGGCAGCGCAACACUUAGCAGUACUCUUCAAACUCUCCAUCGCUGAGUUGCUGGUGGCGCCGGAUCUCCCUUCCUCUUCCAUUACGGUGCGUAAAUCUCUGGAAAACCAAAUCAUCUGCAAUUGUUCAGCUUGAUUCCUAGUUUUUGGCUGAUCCUGCUCGUUGUAUGUUGGUUCUGUGUUCUACAUUUCUCAAUGAAUCACAAUUUGCCUUACUUUUGCUUCCCUCGCGAUUUUAUGAUUGUUUAUUUGCUGCCGGAAAGUUGAGCCGUAGAUUUCUUGAAUGUUGGUUUAGUCGCCAGUGGUCCUCCGGCUUAGGUUAGCGUUUUGGAUGGAUGUGAUUUUGGUGAACACACAGUAUAAGUCUUGACCGCCGGCGGGUUCUAUGUCUUAGUUGUCUCUGUUAUUUGCUUUGCUGAGAUUGAAUCAUAGAGUUAAAAGGUGUAGCUGCUGAUUUUGGCGUUUUUUUUGUUGAUGGCAGCAAAUAUGGUGAGAAUUAGCGUGCUGAACGAUGCUCUCAAGAGCAUGUACAAUGCUGAGAAGCGCGGAAAGCGCCAGGUCAUGAUCAGGCCUUCCUCGAAAGUGAUCAUCAAGUUCCUUAUCGUCAUGCAAAAGCAUGGUACGAACUGGGUGUUCUUGAUGUUCAUGUGCUGUUGGAUGUUUAUGUGUCAUCAUUGCUGAAUGCCCUCAUUUUUUGUUUGUUUGGUGCAGGGUACAUUGGCGAGUUCGAGUAUGUUGAUGACCACAGGGCUGGUAAAAUUGUUGUGGAGUUGAAUGGAAGGCUGAACAAAUGUGGUGUCAUCAGUCCACGAUUUGAUAUCGGUGUUAAGGAAAUCGAGGGCUGGACUGCUAGGUUGCUUCCAUCUAGACAGGUUGGUCCACUGCUCUUAGUUCUUAGCUUCUCUACUGAAUUGAUUUAGAUGGUUAACGUUUUGCUUAAAGUCUUUGAAGAUUGCAUAGGCUUAUGGUUGCAAUAAUGUUUGCUUGAAGUUCUUUAGUAAUAGCUAUAUGUGUUGGGAGAAGUUUAGUGCAGUGAUAUUUCCUAACGUCUGAGUUUGAUUUGCAGUUUGGAUUCAUUGUCCUUACAACUUCUGCUGGAAUCAUGGACCAUGAAGAGGCAAGGAGAAAGAAUGUUGGUGGGAAAGUUCUUGGUUUCUUCUACUGAGUGAUGAUGAGUUAAGUUAUGGGUUAUAAGGGAUGAUGAGUUGAGUUUCUGGUUAUGAAGAGGUUUUGGCCCUGUAAUUUGCAAGUUGUGGUUUUUUUCACCAUAGGAUUCCUGUAAUGCCUUUAUGUUUGGUGUUUUAGGGCACCCAUUUCCUAUCAAAUUAUAACGAGAAUGUACUGGUUCACAUUUUUAUGCAAGUCUUUCUUCAUUUAUGUCAAGUUAGCUUCUCUUGAUUGAAACAAAGGUUAGCUAUAGCUCAUCUGAAAAGAUCUUGGCUGAGAUUUAGUGGCCUCAUAUGAUCAGAUUAUCAUUAUCAGCUGUAAACGAGGUUAAGUUACGAAGUGGGUAACGUGGCACAUAUCCUUUCCAACACGAUUCCACGUUCUAAAAGCGCCAGUCUUUAAACUGUCUUCUUCUCAGCGAAACUAGUAUUGCUACUUCCAAAUAGGAAAUUCCUUUUCCUAUUCAAAUCGAACUGUAAAUCGUGCAUUGGCUAAAACCCAGAUGCGGAAACCCUGAUAGAAACCUCAAAGACUAAUACUUUGGAUGUUCGUUCUACUUCACAAAAAAUCUCUCAUCGUAUCUUCCUCAGCAGACAAACAAUGUUUAUUGAUGGUCAUCUCUGAGAAGAGGUAAUUAAAACCAGCCAGAGGAAGUACAAAGCCGGAAACUGGAAAGAAAAGAAAAGAACAUCCAUCUGUGUCGUGUUUUCUCUGUAUAUAACUAGUUAUAAUACUAACAAUACAUUUUGCCAAAGGAGCAUAGUUGCCCUGACUCAUGGUGCUCUCUUCCAUUCAGCCAUUUCUCUACACCUGCUUCUUCCUUCAUGUUAUCCUCUUGAAUCCCAGCUGAUGUGAUGCCCAAACUGCACCAUUCUAUCAUUCUUCAGUCCCACAUGGAUGGAUUGAUGGUGUUGGAGACACUGAAGCUAGAGGAAACCGCCCCCCCCCCCCCCCCCUUGUGAACCUGGAGAGAAAGAGUGACUCCAGGUACAGGUUUGAGAUCAUGAAGAGUGAGGGGAACUUGGGUGAGGUGAGAUUGUGGAGGGUUUUGUAGGAGCCAAAAGAGAAGAAUACUGGUUGGUGGAAAUGGGAUCUUCUUAGCAUAUCCUCCUUCCUUUAUGUUUGUCACUUUUGGUUUCUUGGUGAGGUCUGCAAUUGCUUUU
rnacentral:lncRNA from 1 species